GUGCUCACUUUAGCAGCAUAUAUACUAAAACAGGAAUGAUAUAGAGAAGAUUAGCAUGGACCCUGCACAAGG
rnacentral:snRNA from 1 species